rnacentral:lncRNA from 10 species
GUGGGGCAGAGGCAGGAAGUGAGAGCAGUGCCUGCUUUGGGGAUCCAGCCAGUGGCACGGCCACUGUGCCCACCCUGCUUGCUGUGCUUUUGGAGGAGGCUCUGUGCAGGACCUCCCAGGGCCAUGUCCCUGGGGUCUGCCCUGCAUUGGGUGACCACCGAGGCCGACACUCCUGAUGGCUGGGCUUGGGACCCAUGAUGCGCACCUGGAUGCACCCCCACAGGAAGGGCCACAAGCCAGGUUGAACAAGCCCACCUGACCAAGAGAGGGAAGCACGCUAACUGUUUUCAGUUUGGACACUCUUGGGGGCUUUUUAGUAAUUGCAUGUGUUUCUGAGCAAGUGAGUGUCUUUUGUGGGUACCAGACAACAGGAUUGCUCCUCUCAACUAGGGACAGUCUGAAGAAUUUUGGUGUGCAAAUUCAUCAAGCUCACCCCAUGGAAAGAGGAAGCUCCGCUGUUUCAGUUUGGACACUCUUGGGGUUUGUUGGUUGCUGCAGCACUUGGAUUGUAUUUUGGUGAUUGUUUGUGUAUGUCAAUAUAGCCAUGGGAAGUAAGAAUUUGAUAAGCUGAUAAUCUUAUGUAAUACUGUUUGGCCUCAUAUCUUUGAAUCUGGAUAAGUUUGGCCUCUCCAUGUGCCUCGUUUUGCUGCUGAAUGGCAAAGCAGGGUGGAGUUUUGUGUAUUCAGGCUUUUAUGCUGUUGUUCAAAGCAAGGUCAGGCUUGAUUAGUACAUGAUGUUCUUCUGUGGUUUUUUCUGGCUCCAGUCAUCCUUGGAGUGUGGAGAGAUUUAGCCUUUAAAAAUCAAAAUGCCACAGAAACUGCUAUACCCAAAACUUUGGUUCACAACCUUCAUUGGAUUGCCUAUCAGGUCAAAAGAAGUUUAGCCAUGUGAACGUGUUCAUAAGCCUGUGAGUUUGUAUUGGUAUCUCAUGGCUAGAGUUCCAAGGUAAAAGUUAUUGGAUCUUUGUUUGCAUGUAUGUAUAUAUGUUUAGAUGUGUUUACAUGUAUGUAUAUUAUUUCAUAUGUUGUGUCUACCAAAUUGGCUUAUAAAUAAAAGAGCACUCCUAAAUUAAGUCCAAGCAAUUUUCAAGUUCAUGCGACUUAAGUAAAUCUUUAAUAAACAAGUUGACUUUAAAAGUACUGGUAAAAUAAAAAUUUAAAUGUCAUUGGAAUUGUCAGUAUAUAUUUUUAACUUGGUUUUAUAUUUGUGUCUGCUAGAUAUUUUGAGGUGUCAGAGUUUGGCACAGAUGAUUAUAAAUCUAUAAACCCAGCCAAUACAAAAAUAAUCUUUGUUUCUGUGAUUUUUUUUAUAAAUAGACUAAUUUAAUGUUGUUGGUUUAAUGAAUACAGCUUCAUCUUCUGAGUUAUUAGUGAAAAUACCCAUGUAUUUAACUUUAAAAUUCUUACUAAGAUGGACACUUACAAUUCACAGGUUACAAAAUAGUUAACAAGGAAAUGACUAGUUUGGUCUAAUAUCUUAGUUCUCAUAAAUAAUCUAGAUAACCUGUUUAAAAAAUGAAAGAAU